GAGAUCCCUUCGGGGUGAACUUGGCGCUGACGAGUGGCGGACGGGUGAGUAAUGCUUAGGAAUCUGUCCAUUAGUGGGGGACAACCCGGGGAAACUCGGGCUAAUACCGNAUACGCUCUACGGAGGAAAGCGGGGGAUCUAUGGACCUCGCGCUAUUGGAUGAGCCUAAGUCGGAUUAACUUGNUGGUGGGGUAACGGUCUACCAAGGCGACGAUC
rnacentral:rRNA from 1 species